rnacentral:rRNA from 1 species
CCUACGGGUGGCAGCAGUGAGGAAUAUUGGUCAAUGGACGCAAGUCUGAACCAGCCAUGCCGCGUGCAGGAAGACGGCUCUAUGAGUUGUAAACUUCUUUUGUACGGGGGUAAACGCAGAUACGUGUGUCUGUCUGAAAAUAUCGUACGAAUAAGGAUCGGCUAACUCCGUGCCCGCAACCGCCGUAAUACGGAGGAUUCAAGCGUUAUUCCGAUUUAAUGGGUUUAAAGGGUGCGUAGGCGGUCAGAUAAAUUAGAGGUGAAAUCCCGAGGCUCAACUUCGGACUUGCCGUUGAGACUGUUCUGCUAGAGAGUAGUUGCGGUAUGCGGAAUGUAUGGUGUAGCGGUGAAAUGCUUAGAGAUCAUACAGAACACCGAUUGCGAAGGCAGCUUACCAAGCUACUUCUGACGUUGAGGCACGAAAGCGUGGGGAGCAAACAGGAUUAGAUACCCUAGUAGUC